UCUCGAUCUCCUGACCUCGUGAUCCGCCCGCCUCGGCCUCCCAAAGUGCUGGGAUUACAGGCGUGAGCCACCGCGCCUGGCCUCCUUUUCUCCUGUUAACCAACCUUUAAGGGAUCAAUGGCCAUGGUUCCCAUAGAGUCUCAAGGUACAUUCAUACUGAGGCAAAUUGUUCUCUAGCUAUAAGCCUGAGACAUCAAACAAGUUAUAUGAUUUCAAAAUACAGUCACGGGGGAGACAAAGGACAGACAUUCCCAUUCCAAAAAGGGGAAAUAGGAAAGAAGAAGUGACAGGUCCUGAGCAAGUCAAAGAUAUUAAGGCUCAAGAAGAAUAACUCAAAGCAACUUUUUCCAGAGAUUAUCUCUCCUUAGAGAGAAGAUUCACUUUUUAAACAGGAAAAGAAAUAUUUCAACAAUUAUUAAUGUGAUUUUUUUCUUAGCUUUUAUGAGUACAUGAUUUUUACCCCAGUUGGCCGAUACUACUUAUAUCUCUGGGCUUCUGGGAAGAAGAAAGAAAAUUAGGAAUCAUAAUAUUCAGACUCUUACACUCAAAAAUUUAAUUUUACAGCAAGAAAAUUAUGUUAAAUCUGGCUACUUUCUUGAGAAAAGACUCUAAAUUCUAUUUUCAAUUUUCUUCUUUAAGUGUAUUAACAGUCAGUCUGGAGUAUACACAAGGAAAGCUAAGUGGAAAGAAGAAAAAGGAGAAAGCUAGACUCUUCCUUGCCCCUAGGUAUUGGAAGAAGAAAGGAAAGAGGGAGAAGAGUAAAAAAUCCAGGUAAAUGCCUCACCUAGAGAGGAAAUGCUGACUUAGAUCAUGUGAAUGGAGAAUUAAGAAAUUUACUACUAUAGGGACAGGAAGGGGGUGAUCACUUUCCUCCCAUGGCAAAGGAUCACAUUUAGCACCCUUAUAACAAAAGAUAGGUUAAAAAAAAAGGAAAGCAUAACAAAGUAAUUACAUGCAAAUAUGUGCACUGGAGUCACACAAAAUAUAAAAACUAAAAGAAAGGGCCAGCCAGUGACUCAGGAGGCUGAGGCAGAAGGAUUGCUUGAGGUCAGGAGUUGGAGACCAGCCUGGGCAAAAUAACGAGACCUUGUCUCAAAGAAGAAGAAAAACAAGAAGAAGAAAGAAGAAAGAAGAGAGAAGAGAGAAGGAAGAAGGAAGAAGAUAGAAGAUAGAAGAGAGAAGACGGAAGAGGGAAGAAGAAAGAAGAAAGAAGAAAGAAAGAGAAGGAGAAGAAGGAAGAAAAGGAAAAGAAAAGAAAGAGGCCAGAUGAGAGACAGAGUCUCACUCUUCACUCGGGCUGCAGUGCAGUGGAGCAAUAGUUGCUCACUGUAACCUCAAACUCCUGGGCCUAAGCAAUCCUCUGGCCUCAGCUUCCUGAAUGACUAGGACCACAGAUCUUCAGACGGAAACUACCAAGAGUCAACUGAGGGAAGAUAGAACCUUGGCUGAAGAGGGAGAAAGCUGGAAAUCCUGCUCGGGGCUACCACACACCAAGACUCAUUCCUAACUCACGAUGGCUCCAGGGAAACCGCUUGUGAGAAAGGUGCCUGCUUCCCGUUUCACCACAACUGUAAGUUUCC
rnacentral:lncRNA from 1 species